rnacentral:rRNA from 1 species
UGCGUAGGCGGGCAGGUAAGUCAGUGGUGAAAUCCUGGAGCUCAACUCCAAAACUGCCAUUGAUACUAUCUGUCUUGAAUAUUGUGGAGGUAAGCGGAAUAUGUCAUAUAGCGGUGAAAUGCUUAGAUAUGACAUAGAACACCCAUUGCGAAGGCAGCUUACUACGCAUAUAUUGACGCUGAGGCACGAAAGCGUGGGGAUCAAACA